rnacentral:lncRNA from 1 species
GUCAUUCCCCAGCCAGAGAAAUCAAAAUGGAAAGAGGAGAAAAGAUGGGCAGGAGAGUCAACUAGUCAGCAGCACCAAAGAAUCGUUCCUCAAGUACCCAGGAAGUCAAUCGAUCGAUCGGGGGUCGGCCUGCUUGAUUGAUCAGCUACAGAAUUAAUUAUUAAUCAGUAGUUCUUGGAGACGGCGGCGGUGGUGAGCGCCUGCCUG